UGGGGAAUUUUGGACAAUGGGCGAAAGCCUGAUCCAGCCAUGCCGCGUGAGUGAAGAAGGCCUUCGGGUUGUAAAGCUCUUUUAGUCGGAAAGAAAGAGUUGCAAUGAAUAAUUGUGAUUUAUGACGGUACCGACAGAAAAAGCACCGGCUAACUACGUGCCAGCAGCCGCGGUAAUACGUGGGGUGCGAGCGUUAAUCGGAAUUACUGGGCGUAAAGGGUGCGCAGGCGGUCUUGCAAGUCAGAUGUGAAAGCCCCGGGCUUAACCUGGGAAUUGCGUUUGAAACUACAAGGCUAGAGUGCAGCAGAGGGGAGUGGAAUUCCAUGUGUAGCAGUGAAAUGCGUAGAGAUGUGGAAGAACACCGAUGGCGAAGGCAGCUCCCUGGGUUGACACUGACGCUCAUGCACGAAAGCGUGGGGAGCAAACA
rnacentral:rRNA from 1 species